UCUUGGAUCAUGGCUUUCCAGUGACGCUGUCCUCCCACGGCCCAGUGGUCAGCUUUCUGGCCGGACCUGAAGCAGCACCAGGGAGGCUGUGAGGUUUGCUAGCCUCCGGUGUGUUCUGAACGGGAGGGAUCAGAAUCUUCUCUCUUCUGAGAAGGUUUUGGGGUCCUGUCGGGCCUGUGCUCUAAACCCGGCCCCAGCGCCAAUGGCCUGCGAGCUUGGGCAAGGCGCUGUCUCCCAGGCCUCAGCGUCUUCACCUAUGAAGGCCAUCUGACUUAUUCCCUGCAGGUUUCCUUUGGGCCCCUCCUCCCAUGGCCCCUCUCUAAACAGAGGAAAGAGAGAUGAGGAGGGGCAGAGGCAGUGACAAGGAAGGAACCAGAUGGGAUGACAAGACCAUGAGCUGCUGGGAAAGAGCACAGACUCUCAUCCUCCCCAGGCGCCAACCUCGGGCUCAAAUCAGGGGCAUUAGGGGGACUUCUCUCUCCAAGAGGAUUCCUGGCCAGAGCUGAGUGUGGAGGAGGAGGGAAGGGUGCAGCAAGGGGACCGGUGAGGAAAGUUGGCUGGGUUAUGAGCAACCUUGCAGAGUGUCAUUACCCAAGGUGGGUAUAAUUGCAGGGGGUUAAGAAAGGCAUGUGGGCAGGCUGGGUUGCUUUAGAUUUUCCUAUAAUUAGUCUAUGUCAUUUUGAAUCCAGAGAAGGAUUAAUUUGGCUCCUCAGUGCUCCUUGGCAGUGAUUCCCCUAGGGUGGGGGGAACUGCCCCCUAAUCUUCUAGGAGGUCAUUCUGCUGUAAAAAUGUAAAGAAAGAAAAGGUGGCCUCAGUACAAACUGAAAAGCAAAGAAAAAAAAGUCACUCAUAAUUCCAGUAUCCAAAUACAACUGAUGUUAAAGUUUAGGUAACUCUUUUUACAUUGCUCUUUUUUUCUUUUUAUGCAUACUUCCCCUAUAUAUAAACGCUCGAUUUUGGGUGCUGAUUUUCCAUGUGACAUUUUCCAUGUGACCCCCAUAUUUCUAUGUCCCUUCAUAGUCUCUGUAACCAUUCAUUUUAAUGGUUGUGCUCUAGUGCCCACUCCUGUUGUUAGCACUUAGACCUUCCAGUUGUCCCUUGACCUCUGUACCCUUGAGGACUUGUUAUUGAAUUUCGUUAUGUCAUGGUUGUCUCUCAGGGACUUUAUCUUCCUUCAGGUGCACAGUGUGGCCACAUAGUAAGUGAGGAGAAAGGUUUGUUAUAUGAGGAACCCCCAACCCUUUACUUCUCGUCUCCCCUGAUUCUCCUUGUGCAGAACCUGGUGACUCAGUUUCCCCAAGACUCUCUAAGACCACAGAGUCAUCGUUUUCCCCCAAAGGUUGUUUUCAUCUUGUCUCCUCAAAUGCCAUCUCUUCACAGACUUCCGGUCCAGGAUUUCCUAGGGUUGUGUGGUCAGAAGCAACUGUUUAGUGUAUGUGAGGAGGUAUGGGGAUGGGGCAGAGAAGGAGUCAACAGUUCAGUAGGAAUUUGGAGAAGUCAGGUAGGAUGUUGAGUGCAAUGCCAGCCAAGAGCCAACGGGACAAGGAGAUGCAGAGAAAAGAGCAACUGGGAGCACCUUGGAAGAAGCGGGCUUAGAGUGAGGAUCGGAAAGCAGGGAAAACUGUGGGCAGGUUUGGCCGGGUUUGGACUUUGGCUCUCAUAUUGCCAUUAUAUGUAUGCAUAUGUAUGCUUCCAUGUGAUAUGUGUGCAUAUGUAUAUAUCUAUGUGUUGUGUGUACAUGUGAGUAUGUGUGUAAGUGUGUGUGUGAUGUGUGUAUAUGUAGGUCUGUCUUCUCUCCUCCAAAGCCCUGCCCUCCAUAGGGUUUAAUAUCUCUCCUCACACCCGACUCUUUCUCACAGAACCUGCCCCCCCUUUCCUGGGAAGACACGGGAUUGCGGGCACUCUUCCCAAGCCCCAGGGAUGCUCUCUGAUUCUCACUUGUCAGCCAGCCCUCGGUGCCCACAGCAACUGCAUUGUGUGGAACUAACUCACAUCAUUCUCCGUGGCAGUGGAUUUGCCCUGAUUAUGUCAUUCUUCUGCUAAACAUCGUUAGUGCCCCCACAUUAGAUUGAAACCCAGAUUUCUUAGUCCUAAAGGCCCGUUGUGGCCCAGGCUCUGCCCACGUCUGAUUAGUUCCCUACAGGAGCAUUCUGCUCCAGACAACCCAUACCCCCGUUGAGCCAGGCUGCACUCAAUGCCUUCAUAGCUUUUCCUCGAAUCUGUGAAUGUCUUCUUUCCUUCAUUUGUCUAACUUCGACUGACUUUCAAUACAGCACCCAAUAUCACCUCUAAGAAGCCGUUCCUAACACCCAGUUUGAUGGAGAGAGCAUCUUCCAGCACAGGGAUCCUGUCUUCCACUAGACUGAGGUCUCCUUGGAAGGGCAACCUUGUUCAAUCAUUGUCUUGCAUCUCCAGCAUCCAGCACAAGGCCUGGCGCAGCCCACAGUGAAUGCUGAUAGGAUGGAUGGAUGAAUGAAUGCCUACUUCUGGAAUCCUCAGUGGCCUGGAUGUCAGUGUGCCAGCCACCUUGAUGAGGGUUUUACAACUGGACCUGAUUUUGUCUCCUCAAUAACCCUGAGAAGGUAAAUUCCUAGAAGCAGGAUCCCGGGGUCACAGCACGUCCAUAUGUUUUAUGCACAGGCAAGGACACAGGUUCUGGAAUGAGACCACGUAGGACUGACACCCUUGGCCAUCAGCCAGCCGCAUGGCCUUGGAGGGCCUGGCAGGCCCGUGGCUUCCUCCCUGGUGAGUUGGAAUACUAACAACCUCCUUUACUGGGUUGGUUGCUAUGCGAUGCAUAUGGCUCAAUACAUGGUAAGCCCUUAGAUCCUGGCCUGUGCACAGUGAGCACAAAACUCUCAGCUAUUAUUAUUGUUGUUAUCAUUGCCAACUUGUCCUCCUGAAAGAGUGUCCCAAUUUAACUCCCACAAGCAUUGUAUGAGCGUUUAUUUCCACACACCUUUGUCAAUACUGGGUGUUAUCAUUCCUUAUUAUUUCAUUGUUUGCCAAUCUGAUAGGCUUUAAUUUUACUGCUUUAAUUACUAGUGAUAAGCAUUUUUUGAUGUCUUCAUUCAUUAGUAAAUUUUCUGUUCAUGCUUUCCCCCCCCCCUGUUUUAGUGGGGUACAAGACUUCUUAUGGAUUUCUUUAAUAUAGUAAGGUCUUCAAUUUUCUUUCUAUCUAUGGACAUGAAAAUUGUAUUUUUCCUUGUUGCUCUUGCCUGUGCUAUACACUGAAAAGCCUACCAUGAGAUGUUACCUAUAUUUUUGCAAUUUUUAAUUUUUUUAAUAAUUUUUUACUUUUACCUUUAGACUUUUAAUAAAAUUAAUUUGUAAUUUUAAUAGUUAACUUCCCCACUUUAAAAAAUUAUUUGUCAAUUAAUUACGAUAGACUAAAUUCUAUAUUCUUGGUUGGUUUCUUGGCUGUUUCCUCUGUUCCAUUAAUCUCUAUGUCUUUUUCUAUGCUUGUGUUUUAAAUUCUUAUUGCUUUAUAAAACACUUUGAUGUCUAUCAGUACAAGUCCCCUUCCACUAAUUUUUUGGGGGGAAAUAUUUUCUUGGCUAUUAUCAUUUGACUAUUUGUAUAAAUAAACUGGAAUAAUUUUGUCACUUCUAAGAAGAAUACUUAUUUUGAUUAGAAUUUCAUUCGUUUUAUAAAUUAAUUUGGGGAGAAUUGGUAUUUUUCCUGCUUUUGCAUUUUCCUGCUUAGAAACAUGAAAGCUAUUUCUUAUUUAAUCAAGAAAUUUUAAAGUAAACUUUUAAUUUUAGAAUAGUUUUAGAUUCACAGAAAAGUUGCAAAAUAGUAAAAUAGUAUAGCAUUGCUAUGUACCCUGCACUCAGUUUUUCCCAUUGUUAACAUCUUACCUUAUUGUAGUAUAUUUGUCACAAUUAAUGAACCAGUAUUGGCCUAUAUUAUUAA